rnacentral:lncRNA from 1 species
AUGCUGGCACCCAGAGAAAGACAGAGUCAGAGCUGUCUGUCUUUGCAGACGGCCAUGCAGCUGCAGGUGUGGGGGCUGCUGAAUAAAGCCAUGUCUCAUCUACCUGCUGUCUCUCUAGUGUUCUUCCAGUUUCCUGCCCCACAUCCACCCACUCCCCUCAGCCCUCAGCUGGGGCUGGAACCUAACCCUGAGCAUACUUGGUGUAGUCAGCAGGAUGAGGUGAGUAGGUCUUCAGCCCCUGAGGCUCCCGGGUUGGCUAUGUGGCCACAGCAUGGGCUGUGGUACCCCGUGGCAGAGAUGCUGCUCGGGUAGGCCCCAGUGGAAACGUGGGAGGCAGUGAAUGGGUCUCCCAUGAGUGUGGAGAAGCAUCUGGAAGCUCACAGCACCAAGAAGGAAUGACCUUUGCCGGCAGAGUCGGAUGGGCGUUUCUGAUUCAGUCAGAAACUGAGUUUCAUGCUCAGUCCCUGCAGGACACAGCACAGAGGGAGAAGCUGGAUUCUAUCACAACUCAUCCCUCCCUUCAUCAGCAGCUGCAGCUGUGUGGACAGUUAGCACAAGGGCAGGAUGACCACACGUUAAUCGAGUGGCUAAUGGCAGCCAUAUGGACUGUUUGGAAUGACGCCAGAAAGAUACCAGAAACUGUGAGUAAAUGGCAGUCAUAUACUAAUUUGGUGCAGAUACUCUGAGAGCUGGGUAUGCAGCAGGCUGUUUGAUCUAAACACCCGGGGACCAGAUGAUGAACACUUUACCUCGCACAUGAGGAGUCUUGUGCUGGGCUCAUUGCCCCCGAGUGCUUUUGACUCUCUAGCUGCUGUUCUCACCCCAUAUGUGGGGUGCCACAUACAUGAAGUGACUACUGUUAUGGCAGUCCUGGGGGAGGCAGAAGGCAUCAGCUGGACCGGGGAACCCGUGCCAGAAAGAAGGGGAAGGUGCCCCCUCCGCAGAUAACCAUCCCAUGUGAUAAAAAGCAGCCUGGCAGGUGACCUGCAUGCAGAUGUGGAUUGAUUUACUUGCAGCUGGGGUUGCUCCGGAGAAAACUAACAGGCAACCCAAUGGAAUGCUCUUGGCUCUUUGGAGGCAACUGUCCCCAGAGCAGCAAUUCCGGAGAAUGCUUAAAUGGGGGGUGAAGCAAUGUUGUUCAACCCACUCCCGCCUGGACACCGCAACUCAAGGACUGUUUGCAGACAGGCGGAGAUAUGGAGCCUUUCUUGUUUGAUUAGGGAACUGGCUGAGAUAUGCAGCUCGGUGUGGGGAACCAGACAACCAGAGGCUGUAUGUGGUGCUAGUAAUCCGCUGGUCCCCGACUAAUGUACAGUGGGUCACAGCGGGUCCUAGCACUGGUAGAUACUGGUGCAGACUGCAGCCUAGUUUAUGGGAACCCGGAUAAGUUUUCUGGCAGAGCUGCAUUUAUUACCAGCUAUGAAAGCUGGUCAGUGAAAGUGAAACCUGUGUCUCUUUAUCUUGGCAUCAGCCACUUGGCUCUCCGCCUAUACACUGUGUAUGUCUCUCUCAUACCUGAAUAUAUUCUGGCAGUGGACAUUUUGCAUGGUCUGGACUUGCACACCAUGGCUGGAGAAUUCAGGCUCUGAGUUAGUGCAGUAAAGCUGAUACUGCAGGGACAAUACACAUCACCAGCCCAAGCUCUGCCACAACCCCAACAGGAUACCUCCACUCAUCAAUACUGUUUGUCAGGGGGGCAUACAGCCAUAACUGAGACUAUUCAGAAGUUAGAGGAGGUGCAAAUAGUGCAUGGCACCCAUAGCCCCUACAAUUCCCUGGUAUGGCCAGUCAGAAAGCCUGAUGGAACUGGGCGAAUACCAGUGGAUUAUCGGGAACUGAAUAAAGUAACACCCUCUCAGCAUGCAGCUGUACCCUCCAUCAUGGAUUUGAUGAACCGCUUGACAACGGAACUGGGACAGUACUACUCUGUGAUGAAUGUGAAUAAUGCAUUCUUCUCCACUGACAUUGCUCCAGAGAGCCACGAACAGCUUGCCUUCAUGGGAGGAUGACAAUGGACUUUCACAGUGUUGCUGCAGGGCUAGAUGCAUAGCCCCACCAUGUGUCAUCGUUUUAUUGAUAAUGUCAUAUUAACCUCCGAUUAUCUUGCAGAUUUGAAAGCGACAAUGCCCCUCUUGCCUGGGAUUGGAUGGUGAGGUUGAGACAGCUGUCCUGGCUAUCUCAAGCAGGCUAUUUAGCAGGCACAAGCCCUAUGGGUAGUUGAUCAGAGGUGCCCAUUUAGGCUAGAUGUGCAUGUGACCACAGAUAGUUUCAGUUAGGGCCUAUAGCAGUGCACGGAGUGCUUGAGUAUGCCAGUAGGCUUUUGGCCCCAACUAUGGAGCUGAGCUUGUCUUUAUUGAUAGAGAAGCAGUUAGUAAUAGCAGGAUGGGUAUGUUCAUGGAUAAUGACCCCCUGGACUGGGAAGCAGUUAGUAACUGCAUAUGCUGCCCUUCAGACUCAUAAGAGCAUGGCAGAACAGGCUACAGUCAUCAUGCAGAUGACUUACCCAAUAGCAGGAUGGCUGCUACGUUCAUGGGUAGCGACCCUUCCAGACUGGGACAGCACAGACUGGGACAGCACUUUAUCAAAGUGGGGCACCUACUUAGAGCAGUGAAGUACACUGAAUACAAGUCCCUUAGCAGCAGAGUUACAAGAGGUCUUAGGGCCUGUAGUCCUCAUGCAAGAUAAGGCCAUGGAGCCUGAGGCACCCCCGGCCCCAUUCCUGAUGAGGCAUAAUAUAUAGACAGGUCUAGCCAGAGUACUGCUGCUGCCUGGAUUGCUGCUGCAGUCCAGCCUACUACUGACAUUAUAUGGUUUGAUACCAAGAGUGGGCAAAGUAGCUAAUAAGUUGAGCUCAGGGCAACACGGAUGAGGAUCACCAAGGAGGUGACACCCAUGGUAAUCUACACCAAUGCUGGGCAGUUUAUCAACGCUUAACAUUGUGGUUAAUUACCUGAAAGUUACAGAAUUAGUUAGUCACCAGCCCAUGUAGGGCCAGGCCAUGUGGCCAGAUCUAUGAGAGGAAGGAUGACCCUCUCCAACCAGGUAUGGGGACAAACGGCAAUCUGUUAUUGCCUGCCCCAAUGCCCCUAAAGGUAGGGAAACAAACAAACAAACAAAACCUGGUGUUAGCCAUGGACCCUCCAAGCCCCUCACUGCAGAUGGUUGGCUAUCAUAGCCCCCUUGGGGGAGGGUCUGCAGUAUGACUUAUAUGUUAUUCCCUGGGUAUUUAAUGUGUGGCCUCCAUGAUUGACUGUUCGUAGGGGAAUAGCCAGGAAAGGAACCCUCCUCUGGUGGGGGGAACAUAUGUACUGUCUGUGUGGCCUAUUAUGAGCUCCCUUGUGACUUUGGCAUGGAUACAGGACCCAAAAGAACCACAAGCAGCUGAUAAGGUGUGGUACCAUCACCCAGGGCAGAAGCCCUUGGCAGCUACAUUGUUAUCUAGAGAUAAAAGUUGGCUUGCAUUUGGCCUAAGGGACAUGAUUUACCCUUGUUAGUAUCUGUGCCUACUUUGUCAUUCUGGCCGUAGGUUGGCAUGCUCCAACUGCAUUGUGGACUGGGCCCACACCUACGCUGAGGUGACCAAUGUCUCCAACUGUUGGAUCUGUACUACCCUUCCAGCAGCAGCUGUGGAUGGCUUGCCCUGGCACAUGCACCCAGCUUCUGUGAAAAACUGGACACGACUAGAAACUUGUGGUUCCACAGACAAUUGGUGGGAUGCAACACGGCAGGCUUUGGACAGGGGGUGUCGCAAAACCCAUGGCAAGCCUGCCCCCUGGCUGACUCGUAGUGUCUAUGAUGGGUGGGGCUGGCUAAUGGGAGAACACGUGGUGCCCCCAUCGCAGGUACCACGAUGCAUAGAGCAGCACUGGGGUGAAGUCACUGUGGGAUGGUGGCCUGCUGAGGUUUGUGCAAACAUAACAUGUCACCACACCAAGGGUGUUGUGGAACAAGCGGCCUUACCAAGGCUGGGCUCCAAUGGACUUUGUGCCCCCUGAGAGUUUAUGGGUCUGUGGGGCCCAUAAACCAAAUGGCGAUAUCUACCAGCCAAUUGGACUGGAUGUUUUACUUGGGGGUGGUUUUCUGUGCCUGCCACUGUGCUUCCCACAUUGCCUAGUUGCCCGAAUAACUGGGAGGCACUGCGUUCCCAGUUUUUGCCACCCUCUGGUGGCUCCACCCCUUAGCAAUAACUAUCCCUGGAGCAGGUGUCGUUACUAUAGAAAUGCAAGUUACAGCCCUUGCAGAGCACACAGCUCGGGCCCUGAAUUACACCCGAGUUGCUCUCCUUUUGCUAACUGAUGAGGUUGAUCAGAUCAGGAAGGUGGUGCUGCAAAAUCGGAUGGCCUUAAACAUAGUCACAGUUGCUCAGGGUGGCACCUGUGCCCUUGGAGGGACACAAUUUUGUACAUUUAUCCCUGACAUCCACUAGAACAUAAUGGUAGCUUUACAAGGGGUGUCACAGGAGAUUAAGGCUAUUGAGCACCUUACUGAUGACCCUCUGCAGAGACAGUGGGUGCCUCUGGGCACUACCCUAUGCUGGGCUCUAAUAAUCAUAGGUAACGUAACAGGAAUAUUUAUAGUAGGUUGUUGUUCUCUGUAUUGUUGUUGUGACCUAUGAGUUCAGGGUGCUGCCCUAUGUGCAUGGAUCCCCACUAAAAGAACUCCCUCAUUCCAGGGGGUGGAAUGUAAGGCCUGUGUGCCAAGCCUGUUUAUCAAACUCGUGUGCCCAAAACUUAUGUAUAAGGCCUUGUGUGUGUAUAUCAAGCCUAUGUACCCAAAGCUUAUGCAUAUAACCUGUAUCCAAGGCCUAUGUCUCCCUUGGCCUAGGGGGUGGAGUGUAAGGAACAUGGCUGUGCUUUGGUUAAGGAUAGGCCGAGGUAGGAUGUUUACAUCCUGUGUGACUCAGCAGGUUUAGAGCGCAGGCAUAUAACUCCACUUGUUAUCACAGCCAUGUAGCCAUACAUGGGAAGGCCAUCAGUUGGCUCUAUGCCACUAUUGUCUGUAAAAUGUAUGAUUGCCCUGUUGACGUUGUGCUGGUGCACUGGGAGAGAGAGUCAGAGCCGUCCUUUGCAGACAGACGGUGGGGGAGCCAGGACACAGCUUGGCUCACUUGUGCCCAGAGAAACAGUUAAGCUACUGACCCUGAAGCCAAGGGAGAGCUGGCCAUGCAGCUGCAGGUGUGGGGGCUGCUGAAUAAGGCCAUGUCUCAUCUACCUGGUGUCUCUCGAGUGUUCUUCCAGCUCCCUGCCCCACAUCCACCCACUCCCUCAGCCCUCAGUUGGGCUGGAACCUGACACUGAACACGACAAAGGCUGACCCCCAAAUGGUUUUAAAUUACAGUAAAACAAAAACCUCCUUCUAAAGGCCUUAAAAAUUGGAUAAUGACUUAGUUUCAUUCAAAGGAUAGAUUUUAAAAGCCCCUUAUAGCCAUAGCCAGACCUAGAGACCACUCAAAUCCAUAAUGAUACUGGAAUUAUAGAAUUUUAGAACUGGAAAGUAUUUAGGGGGAUAAAAAUCCAUUAAUCUAGUCAUUUUACAGAAAAUAAAAUGAGUUCCAGAAAAGUGAAAUUAUUUACAAAAGUCACACAGCUAAUUAGCUAUUAGAGCUAGGACUAGAAUUUAGUUAUCUUGACUCAAGAUAACCUGCUUUUGAAGUAUCCUUUUAUUACUUAGUUCUGUGACCUUGCUGAGAUUUUCUUAUAUAAAAGAUUGGAAAUAUGUAAAUAUUUAAAUUUUAUUCUUAAAUACUAUUUAUUAAUACAGAGAAAUACUCCUGCUAUAAUUUUAAGUGACACAAUAGUACAACAAUUGUUAAGAACAAUCCACCUGUGUCAAAGAGACACAUACACAAACACACAUCCAUAUACACAUACAAGCUUGGAGAAAAUUCUGAAAGGAUCUCAUUGUCCUAGAUGGUGGCAUUAUGGGCAAUUAUUUUGCAAAUGUCACCCAGUGAAGAAGCAAUGGUGCCUUUGGAAAGUAUGUAGCUCUUAGUUAAGCUUUUAUCUGGAAGGUGCUGGAGAAGGUCUGGGCACAGAGCUGGUUGGCUCCAUGGUUUUGUGACCUGUGCCAUCACAUAGGACCCCAUGUUCAGAAGGACCCCACUCUUGGUUUAAUGCUCUGCUGCCGUGUCUUGAAAUUCUUAAUAAUUUUUUUGAACAAGGGAUGCUGCAUUUUCACUGUGUUCUGGGCCUAAUGAUUAUGUAGUCAAUCUUGUCUGGCAGCUCUUCUCUGGCCCAUUCACUGGUAGAUGAUUGUGGGGUGGUUAUUUCUUUAAAUUUUUCAUUUAAAAAAAAUCAUAUUCAUAUUAUUAAAAAUUAAAAAAUAGAUUUGCAGAAAAAUUAGAUCACCCUUAGAACUCUCAAGGGCAGAUACAUUUUAACUAGCAUCUCUUCACACAUCACAAUGAUGCUUGGUGUUUAGUCUGAAGGAUAAAAAACAAUUCAGUAUUUUAUAGUAUAAAUUGCUAAACACAUAAUUACAAAAAAAGUAUGCCUGUGAAAUUAGGCUAUCUAUUCCUUGAGAGAUGGAAUUAGAUAUUAGUUUUCUAUUGCCACAAAUGUAGCAAUUUAAAGCAAGAGUUUAUUAUCUCCCAGUUUCUGUAGGUCAUAAGUAAGGCCAUAAUGUGACUGGGCUCUCUGCUCAAAGGUCUCACCAAGCUAUAAUCAAGGUGUCAGCCUGGACUGUGUUUCUCAUCUGAGGCUUGAGGUCCUCUUCCAAGAUCAAGUGGUUGUUGGCAGAAUUCAUUUCCUUGCAGGACUGAGGUCCCAGUUUCCUUGCUGGCUGUCAUCCAGGAACUGCUCUCAGCUCCUAGAGGUUGCCCACAUUCCUUACUACAUACCUGCGUCCAUCUUUAAGCCAGCAAUGGCCUAUAUGCUUCAACUCUCUGACUUUCUCUUCUGCAACCAGCCAAGAAAAUUCUUUGCUUUUAAAAGGCUCAUCUGAUUAGGGCAGGUCCACCUGGAUAAUUAGGUCAACUGUGCCAUAAAACGUAACCUAGUCAAGGUAGUAGAUACAUCAAAUUUACAGUAACAGGGUGUGUACAGUGGGGGUAAGUCUUGGGGACCAUUUUAGAAUUCUGCCUACUACAACUGUCCUAAAGAGACUCAUGUGACAAACAAGAGGUUUCUAUACUCUACUUCUCUAUCCAACCCUAUCAUGACUUUAAUAGUCUUUUCAGCCAGGCACAGUGAUGCCCACCUGUAAUCCCAGCACUUUGGGAGGCUGAGGCAGGAGGAUUGCUUGAGAUUAGCAGUUUGAGACUAGCCUGAGCAAUAUAGCGAGAACUUUGUCUCUGCUAAAUAAAUAAAUAAAUAAAUAAAUUGGGCAUGGUGGUGUGUCCCUGUAUUCCCCCAGCUACUUGGGAGGCUGAGACUGGAAGAUUGCUUAAGUCCAGGAGUUUGAGGUUGCAGUGAGCUGUGAUUGCAUCACUGCACUCCAGCCUGGGCUACAGAGACACUGUCUCCAAAAAAAAAAAAAAAAAAAACAAGUCUUUGCAAUUCACAUUUAACUCUAACAUCUCUAUUUUAUAAGUGCAUGUUUAAGCAUAAUAAAAACUGGCCAUGACAAAUUUGCUUAUCUUUGGGGAAAACAGAGAUCCUUUUGUUUGCAAAGAAAAAGAUUUAAAGAAGAAUCUUGCAUUCAAAAAGCCUAGUUAGUGUAUAUCAGUAUAUUUAUUUCAUUAAGUUUAAUACAACCUAAUGAGAUAAUAAGCCAUAUACUCAAUUUAAAUGUAUAUAUUUAAAAAUGAAGGUUAAGAACAUAUUAUCUAGAUACAUAUAAUCAAGUAUAAGAUUUAGAAAAUAUUAACACAAUAUAAUGCAAACAUUUGUCACAAAUAUGCGAAUGUUAGCAUCCUCCCUAUAUGAAGUACUCAGACAAAUAGAGAAGCAGAACACAAGACCCUGCAAAUAAAUGACCAAAGAACAUGCCCAGACAUUUAAGAAGUAGUAGAAAUGACUUAAGUCGGAUCUCAAUGAACUCAUAUUUAUUCGGUGUAUAGGAUGUGUGAGAUGCUGGCAUAUGGCAAGUACAGGGCUGCUAUUCAGCCAAAGGCACUGUUAGGGGGGUUUGUGGCCAGCAUCCAUUCUUAUUAGUUGGUGAUUAUUAUCUGAUAGGUUGGUGCCUUGGUGCCUUGUAGUGUUUGUUAAAUGUUUUGAUUAUUAGUGAAUGUGUGUCAAAUGCUUUAUCACCUCGUAGUAGGCUAAAUAAUGGCCACAGAAAGACAUCAUGUUCUAAUCCCUGAAACUUGUAAAUGUUGCCUUGUAAGAAAAAUGGGUUGCAGAUGUGAUUAAGGAUCUUAAAAAUGAGGGGAUUAUCCUAGAUUAUCUGGGCGGGUCCUAAAUGCAAUCCUUAUAAGAAAGGGGCAGAGGGGAAUUUGAUACAGAGAGAAGAGGAGAAAAGAAUGUAACUAUGAAGGCAGAGAUUGGAGUGAUGCAGCCAUAAGCCAAAGGCCUGUGGCCAUCAGAAGGUGGAAGAGGCAAGGAAUGAAUCCCCCCUAGGGCCCGCGAAGGACCGUGGUCCUAUUGACACCUUGAUUUCAGCUCAGUGAAACUGUUUUGGACUUUUGGUCUCCAAAACUGUGUUUUAAGUCACCCAGUUUGUAGUAAUUUGUUACAGCAGCCACAGUAAAUUAAUACAAUGCCUAAUUCAGUAAAUCUUCACAAUAAUCUCAGGAGAUAGGGAAUUUCAUUAUCCCCACUUAAAAGAAAACCACAAUAUUAAGAAGCUAUUUAUUCAAUUCAGAGCUAGAAUUCAAAUUCAGGUCUUUCUAAUUCAGAGUGGAGGUCUUACCACUAUGUUGCAUUAGAAAAUAAAAAUGAGAUUCCAGAAUUACUCUUUCUGGAGGAAGUGGGACUGGACUAAUCCUCCCACUGUAAAUAAUUUAAAAACUGGACAAAAGAUAUGAAAUAACAGUUUUCAAGCAUUGGUCAACAAGCAGUACAGAACUGUGGUCCCUGAGAGAGAAGAAACAAAUGAGGAGAGCCUUAUAAUUGCCUGUACUUUUGCCUGGAGACACAUUCCAGCCCAAGGUGCGGGGAGGGGGGGAUCCCCCAAACAGACCACAGUAGUCUUGUUGAGUUGAAGGAAUGGAGAUCAGUUUGGGGAGGCAAAAGUGGCUGGAAUUUGCAGGGCAGAGUACCAGAAAGGAAGAAGGUAAAUCAAGAAAGAGUUCCAGAAAUCUGCAAGGGAGGAUGUCCCCUUGAGUCUGUGGUUGAAUACUAAGAUAUACUUGUGUAGGAUGAAACCCAGUAAGUCUGGGCAGAGAAUGACCCUCGGAACUAUAAGCUAAACAAUUCCCAGAGCUCACACAAAGCUGGAAGACACUUGAGUCCCAAUCAGCCCCAGAGAAACACUGGUUUAAUCAACUGGGGAGCAAAGAAGAAAAGAGAAAAGACAAUACUUACGUAAAAAAGGCGGAAGAAAAAAAAGGAUGGCUACAUAGAAUAGAUAGAUAUAUGACAAAACAAGAAGAGUCAAAUGUUAAUGGUAGAAUCUAGAUAGUGGGCAUAUAGGCAUAUGCUAUAAAAUUAAAGGGUUAAUAAAAGAACAUUAUGAAAAACAUGCUCAUAAAUUUCACUACUUUGACCAAAUGAACAAAGUCCUCAAGUGACACUAGUGGUUUUUAAAUGUCCACACAUUUUUUUGACUUUCAUUCACCCCAAGGUGGUGUCUAAUUCUCCUCUUUUUCAGUGUGGGUUAGACUAGUGUUCUAUUUUAACAAACAGAAUAUGGCAGAAGUAAUGGUGUGCCACCUUUUUUUUUUUUUGAGACGGAGUCUCAAGCUGUUGCCCAGGCUGGAGUGCAGUGGCGCGAUCUCGGCUCACUGCAAGCUCCGCCUCCCAGGUUCACGCCAUUCUCCUGCCUGAGCCACCCGAGUAGCUGGGACUACAGGUGCCCACCACCACGCCCGGCUCAUUUUUUGUAUUUUUAGUAGAGAAGGGGUUUCACCGUGUUAAGUCAGGAUGGUCGUGAUCUGCCCGCCUCGGCCUCCCAAAGUGCUGGGAUUACAGGCCUGAGCCACCGUGCCCGGCCUCUGCCACUUCUGAUAUAGGUAACAAAAGGCCUUGUAGUUUCUUCUUUUUUAAUUUUUAUUAUUAUUUUUUAAGACGGAGUUUUGCCCUUGUCGCCCAGGAUGGAGUGCAAAGGCACAAUCUCCGGCCACUGCAACCUCCGCCUCCCGGGUUCAAGCGAUUCUCCUGCCUCAGCCUCCCAAGUAGCUGGGAUUACUAGCGCCUGCCACCACACCCAGCUACUUUUUAGUAGAGAUGGGGUUUCCAUGUUGGCCAGGCUGGUCUUGAACUCCUGAGCUCAGGUGAUCCACCCACCUCGGCCUUCCAAAGUGCUGGGAUUAAGGGCAUCAGCCACCACGCCUGGCCUGUGGUUUCUUCUUUGCCCUUUCUCUUGGCUCACUCACUUGGCAAGAAAACAGCUACCUUUUCUUUUUUUAAGGAUACUUGAUCAGCACUAUGGAGAGGCCCAUGUAGUUGGAAAAUGAAGCCUUCUGCCAAUCAGCAAUACCUUGAGCCUUUCUAUCAGUGAGAAACUGAGGCCUCCUGUCAAUAGCCAAUAAGGAAAUGAGGCUUCUUGCCAAAAACCACGAGUGGGCCACCUUGGAAGCAGAUACUCUAGCCCCAGUCAAGCUUUCAUAUGGCUUCAGCCUUAGUUAACAUCUUGACCCAUUCUUGAUCCUGAGCCAGAACUACUGAGCUAAAUGCUCCUGAAUUCCUGACCCACAGAAACUGAGAUAACUGUUUAUUUUUCCAAGCUGUUAAGUUUUGCAAUAAUUUAUUGUGUAGCAAUAGAUAAUUAACACAAUCAAACUACCAAAGCUUGCUCAAGAAAAGCUUCACAAUGUCCUAUAUCCGUAAAAGAAAUGGAAUUCGUGGUUAAAACCUUUCAACAGAGAAAACUCCAGGUCUGGAUAGUUUCACUGUUGUAUUCUAUCAAGCAUUUAAGAAAGAAAGAAAAAAUGCCAGCUAUUAGCUUAAUUGUUGCUCCUUUCAAAGUAAUAUUUCUUUUGGCUUCUUUAUACUUUUUCCAUCUUUGGUUAUCAGCAGUUUUACAAUGGUGUAAUUUCAUGUGGUUUUCAUUUUAUUUAUCCUGUUUGGGGUUUAUAAGCGUUCUUGAAUCUGAAGUUUGAUGUCUUUCAAUUUUUUUACAAAGUUUUUAAAUAUAUUUUUUGUAUUUUUUUGUUUGUUUGUUUUACCCAAGUCCUGCCUCAGGAUCUAUCUUUCAAUUUUGUAAAGUUUUUAAUAAUUAUCUUUUUUUUUUCUUUUUUUUGAGACAGAGUCUCAAUCUGUCCCCCAGGCUGAAGUGCAGUGGUGCAAUCUCGGCUCACUGCAAGCAAGCUCCACCUCCCGGGUUCACACCAUUCUCCUGCCUCAGCCUCCCGAGUAGCUGGGACCACAGGCGCCCACCACCAUACCUGGCUAAUUUUUUUGUAUUUUUAGUAGAGGUGGUGUUUCACCAUGUUAGCCAGGAUGGUCUCGAUCUCCUGACCUUGUGAUCCACCUGCCUAGGCCUCCCAAAGUGCUGAGAUUACAGGCAUGAGCCACCACGCCCAGCCAAUAAUUAUCUCUUAAACUAUUGCUUAUGUUUCAUUUUCUCUCUCCUCUCUUGGGACAUAAAUUUCCUCUGUUAGAUCUUUUACUAAAUCUAUGUCUCAACUUUUGUAUUUUUAUUAUUUUGUCUCUCUGCAUCAUUCUGGAUUUUUUUUUCUAAUUUGUGUUCAUUCACCAAUUCUUUCUUCAGCUAUGCCUGUUCUGUCAAUUCUAUCCAUCAGUCUCCUAAUUUCAAGCAUGCUAAUUUUCAGUUCUAGUGUUUCCUUUAAAAUUUUUUUUAAAUUGACACAAAAUAAUUGUACAUAUUUAUGGCAUAUAUGGUGAUAUGUUGAUACAUUUACUGCACAGUGAUUAGAUCAGGGAAAUCAGCAUAUUCUUCAACUCAAAACAUUUCUCAUUUGUGUUGGGAACAUUCAAUAUCCUCUAUUUGGAAAUAUAUAUUAUUAACUAUAGUCAUCCUACAGUGCAGAAGAAUGCUAGAACUUAUCCCCCCCAUCUAGCUGUUUCAUUUUGUUUUUAAUAUAAUUUUCAGUUCUUUGCCAAAAUUCUUGUAAGUUUAAUUUUCUUUUUCUUUUUUUUUUUAAGCUUGUCUCUGAAAACUCCAAUAUCUGGAGGUCCCUACAGAUGUUUAAAUAGAAGCUCCUGCUGGUAUUCACUCAUGUCUCUUUCUGUGGCUACUUUUUAUUGUGUGUUCUACAGUGUACCUGCAAAACUGUUUAUAGAUUUAUUUUGAGGCCUAGUUUGUUAGUUUUCUACACUGUGUAACAAUAUUACCACAAAUCUGGUGUGUUAAGAACAAGACACAUUUAUUAUCUCACAGGUUCUGUGGGUCAGGAGUCCAAGCACAGAUUAGCUGGCUUCUUUCUGUUUCCUGGUCUCAAAAGACUGCAAUCAAGGUGUUAGCCAGAGCUAAGGUCUCAGCUAGGGCUCCACUGAACCAGGAUUCACUUCCAAAAUAACAAGGUUGUUGGCAAUCUUCAGUUCCUGGCACACUACUAGAACAAGGAUCUGUUUUCUUGCUGACUACUGGCUAGAGGCCACCCUUAGUUUCUUGCCAUGAGGCCCUCUCCAAAGGCUGGUUUACAUCAUGGCAGCUUGCUUCUUCAAAGUCAACAAGAGUCUCUUAAUAAGAUGAACAUUAGAAUUUGCUGUAAUCAUGUCCAUCUCAUCAUCUUCGUGGUAGUCUAUGGAUUAGAAUCAAGUCAUGGGAGUCUCCCUCCACACAAGGAAUACCAGGGGACAGGGAUCAUAGUGGCCACCUUAGAGUCUGUCUGCCACACCUAGGAUGUUAAUUUCUUCCUGAAAAGCAAAUGUAGAUUUGCUUCUGCCAUGCAUCUGAGAGCUCUAAAAACCUUAGAUAACCUCAAUCUAAUUUCAGAAACUGAGGGUAUUUGAAGCUGAGCUGCCAUCCCUUUGAAGGCCUGCUUACUUCUGGACCACUGUUACUCCUAAUGAGUAGCCAUUUGGGAUCCUCACUCCAAGUAAGGGAAAGGGUUUACCAGUGCAGGCCCCUUCUUCCUUGUCCCAUAAGGUUGUCAAAAUGGCCAUUCAACAGCUCAGCAAUCACUUACCACUCACAGAAUUGGCCAACACAAGGGAAAACAGCUCCCCUAACAAAGUUUCUGUUUCCUUAGGAAUUCUUCAUUGUUGCCAGCUCGCUGAUGUCUUCAACCAGGUGUUUUUAAUUAAUUUAUUUUUAGUUUAUCUUUUUUUUUUUAAGAGAUGGGGUCUCCCUAUGUUGCUGAGGCUGUUCUCAAACUCCUGAGCUCAAGUGAUCCCCUAGCCUUGCCUCCCAAAGUGCUGGGAUUAAAGGUGUGAGCCACCGUGCCCAGCCCAGAUGUUUUUAAAAUUUUGUUCAGCUGCCAGCUUUUCUAGAUGUUCUCAGUGAAGAUCUAGGACAAAUUUCUUGGUCUACCAUCAUUGUAAAUGAAAGCUUUUAUUUUUAUUUAUUGUAGAGAUGGGGGUCUCCCUAUAUUGCCCAGGCUAGUUUUGAACUCCUGGCCUCAAGCGAUCCUCCUACUUUGGCUUCCCAAACUGCUGGGAUUACAGGUGUGCGCCAUUGUGCUCAGCCUACUUUUUUAUGUCCAGCAUUUGGAGAGGGCCACAUGGCAAGAAAUUCACUCAGCAAGAAAACAGAUUCUUGUUCCAGUAGUUUGCUACGAACUGAAUAUUGGCAACAACUCUGUUAUUUUGGAAGUGAAUCCUGCUUCAGUGGAGCCUCAGCUGAGACCUCAGCUCUGAACACAUCUGAAACACAGAUGUGUUUCAACAUAAUCUAACCUAAAGCAAAACAAAGAUUUUUCAACCUAGAAAAAAGAUUAGAGAGUACUAAUUAUAUUGAAUAUUUCUAUUUCUGAAGCUUUCCAUAAUUUGGAAAAUAAAAUAUUAUUAAAUACUGC